GAUGAACGCUAGCGGCAGGCCUAAUACAUGCAAGUCGAACGGUGUAGCAAUACACAGUGGCGCACGGGUGCGUAACACGUAUGCAACCUACCUUACAUUGGGGGAUAGCCUUUCGAAAGGGAGAUUAAUACCGCAUAAGACAGUAACUAGGCAUCUAGUAGCUGUUAAAGAUUUAUCGAUGUAAGCUGGGCAUGCGUCCAAUUAGUUAGUUGGCGAGGUAAUGGCUCACCAAGACGAUGAUUGGUAGGGGAACUGAGAGGUCAAUCCCCCACCCUGGCGCUGAGAUACGGGCCAGACUCCUACGGGAGGCAGCAGUAGGGAAUAGUGGGCAAUGGGCGCAAGCCUGACCCAGCCAUGCCGCGUGCAGGAAGAAGGCGUUAUGCGUUGUAAACUGCUUUUAUACAGGAAGAAACGACCCUUGCGAGGGGCAUUGACGGUACUGUAUGAAUAAGCACCGGCUAACUCCGUGCCAGCCGCCGCCGUAAUAC
rnacentral:rRNA from 1 species